UACGGGGGGAGCAAGCGUUGUUCGGAUUUACUGGGCGUAAAGGGCGCGUAGGCGGCCACCGCAAGUCGACUGUGAAAUCUCCGGGCUUAACCCGGAGCGGUCAAGUGAUACUGUCGUGCUAGAGUGCGGAAGGGGCUACUGGAAUUCUCGGUGUAGCGGUGAAAUGCGUAGAUAUCGAGAGGAACACCUGCGGCGAAGGCGGGUAGCUGGGCCGACACUGACGCUGAUGCGCGAA
rnacentral:rRNA from 1 species